CCUACGGGGGGCAGCAGUGGAGAAUAUUGGACAAUGGGGGGAACCCUGAUCCAGCCAUGCCGCGUGUGUGAAGAAGGCCCUCGGGUUGUAAAGCACUUUCAGUGAGGAAGAACGCCUGGUGGUUAAUACCCAUCAGGAAAGACAUCACUCACAGAAGAAGCACCGGCUAACUCCGUGCCAGCAGCCGCGGUAAUACGGAGGGUGCGAGCGUUAAUCGGAAUUACUGGGCGUAAAGCGCGCGUAGGUGGCUUGAUAAGCCGGUUGUGAAAGCCCCGGGCUCAACCUGGGAACGGCAUCCGGAACUGUCAAGCUAGAGUGCAGGAGAGGAAGGUAGAAUUCCCGGUGUAGCGGUGAAAUGCGUAGAGAUCGGGAGGAAUACCAGUGGCGAAGGCGGCCUUCUGGACUGACACUGACACUGAGGUGCGAAAGCGUGGGUAGCAAACAGGAUUAGAUACCCUGGUAGUC
rnacentral:rRNA from 1 species